rnacentral:lncRNA from 1 species
AUGGGGAUGUCGCCAGCUGGGCGUUUGCAGCUGGAUUUUGCAGCGUAUUUGAUGGUUUGCAACCUGCCGGGGCGGACGYGUGGCAGCGGCUGGGCAAGCGGAGCCCCAUGGUGGCACCAGUGGAUGUGCCGCCGUGGCAGGGCCCGAGCCAGAGCGGUGCUGCCCAAGCGAGGAGCGAGCUGCCAACGCUGCCGUCCCGCACGGAUCAAGGCUCUGGCACCCCGGCCAGCUCCCAGACGUCCGGGCACUCGCCCGCGCACGCAGCACCCCAUUGGUGCUCCUUCGGCCGCGUGGCGCGCCUCUCUCCAGCUUUGCUCCUGCCUUUUCCGUGCCCAGGGGAACGGCUGCAUGGGGGUGGCCGUCAAGGAUCUCCGGCAUGCCCAGCCUGCUCGUCUCGCCCAGCGAAGUUACGGGGUCUGCCUUUGGGGAGCCCCCGGGCUGAGCCGAUGGUGGGACUCCGGCUGCACUCCACGAAGGCUCUUCGGCUGUGCAGCCAGGGAUGUGUGUUGUGCUGUGCACCCGGGGAACCGCGUGUGCCGGAGAACGUGCACCGCCGGCAUUUGCAUGUGCCAGCUGGGUGCCUGGCUAUGCAAAGGGCCGCGGUGGCAGGGCCGGUGGCAGUGCAGCGCACAGCUGCGCACGGCGGUGGUUUUCCUGCCCUCCUGCCGGCCCUYGCCGGCAGCGCUGCAGCGAGCUUCCCCGGCGGGUGGCAGCGGCCACGGGCAGCGAGCAGCGAGGCAGCUGGGAUGGGCCAUAAUACGGCAGUGCUGGCAACGGCGGUGCAGCAGGAGCAGGGGUGCUGUGCACCGUGCAUCAACUGUUGUUGAGAAGAAAGCUACCAAGACCGUAACGCUCCCCCCAGGGAAUUUCUCCCAGCUACGGUUAAGCAACAGGCACUUGGCGCCUCUCCACCCUGAGCCAUCAGCGGGCAGAGCCAGGGCUCCCCGCAGAAGCCAGCAGCCUGGGACCUGCAGGAUGCGGCCCCUCCUGGCUGGCACCGCUCGCAGCCUGGCCAAGCGGGGUGAGGGCUCCCGCGAGCCUCCUCCGCCCAGCGAGGCCGCGCCAGCCCCGCUAUUUGGCUGCGCCACGGUGAAGAUCCCAUGGGCAGCCACCUCUCGGCAGCCCCUGGGGUGGGCAGGGACCUGCUUGUCCCAAGCAAAGAAAUGCUCUGAGCCCCCCUGA